rnacentral:tRNA from 1 species
UCGCCGCCCGGCGAGACGGCCACGCCGCCGGACCCCGGGUCCGGCGACGACCCCGGCUCAGGCGGUCCGGGUUCCGGCGGCCCGGGCGGCUCG